rnacentral:rRNA from 1 species
AUGCGACGGGACGCCGCUGGCCCCGGCGGCGGCGCCGGCGCCGGGUUCCACGAUCUGUUCGACUCCGUGCGCCGAUCCAUCAACUUCCGCACCAGCGCCGCCGCGCCCCCGGAGCCUCCGGCGGGCCCCCUCGGCGGGGGCCCUGCGGGGGGUAUCGGCGUCCGGAUCAGCUCCUGCCUCCGCAAGUCGAGGGGGAUGGGGCUGCUCGGGCUCAUCUCCAAGAGCCCCUCGCCGCCGCGCCGCCUGCUGCCGCCGACGCCCGUGCCCGCCGACGGGGGCGGCCGCGCGGGGGAGAUCCCGCCGAUCCGGUGGCGGAAGGGCGAGAUGAUCGGCUCCGGCGCGUUCGGGCAGGUCUACCUCGGGAUGAACCUGGACACCGGGGAGCUCCUCGCAGUAAAGCAGGUUUUGAUCGGGAGCACCAACGCGACCCGGGAGAAAGCCCAAGCGCAUAUAAGAGAACUUGAGGAAGAAGUGAAGCUCCUCAAGAACCUUUCGCACCCCAAUAUUGUGAGGUACCUUGGGACAGUCCGUGAGGAAGACACACUGAAUAUCCUGCUGGAGUUUGUUCCUGGAGGGUCUAUCCAGUCGCUUCUUGGAAAACUCGGUUCAUUCCCGGAGGCAGUCAUUAGGAAGUAUACUAGGCAGAUUUUGCAAGGGUUGGAAUAUCUGCAUAGCAAUGCAAUAAUACAUAGAGACAUUAAGGGUGCAAACAUUCUUGUUGAUAACAAAGGCUGCAUUAAGCUUGCUGAUUUUGGGGCAUCUAAGCAAGUUGCCAAGUUGGCUACUAUGACAGCAGCUAAAACGAUGAAAGGCACGCCACACUGGAUGGCACCUGAAGUCAUUGUGGGGAGUGGGCAUACCUUCUCUGCAGAUAUCUGGAGUGUGGGAUGCACAGUCAUUGAAAUGGCUACUGGUAAACCACCAUGGAGCCAGCAGUAUCAGGAGGUUGCGCUUCUAUUUCAUGUUGGAACCACAAAGUCGCACCCACCAAUACCUGAACAUAUCUCACCAGAGGCUAAAGAUUUUCUGCUGAAAUGCCUGCAGAAGGAACCAGAGCUGAGGUCUAGCGCGUCAGAUUUAUUGAAGCAUCCGUUUGUGACCGGAGAAUUUGAUGACCGGCAGCUACUCAAUCGUACUCCACAGAAGGAUGCUUCCGUGAAUGAGCUUUUCGCACAUGAUGCGGAUACGCCAACAGAGAUGGGUUUGAAUCAUUCUGGCAACUGGUCAACAAUUAAUUCAAACAGAUCAUCUAAAAUCAAACCCCUAUGGGAGGGUGGUGGUGAUGACGAUGACAUGUGUGAGUUUGCUGACAAAGACGAUCAUCCAGCAGUUGGAUCUAGCUAUAAUCCUAUGUCUGAACCAUUUGAUGAUGACUGGAAAAGCAAGUACGACAUGAGCCCAGAGCAAAGUUCUCAUCAGUCGAGGGAAUUUGGUGGAUUAGCCAAGCAUCCUGAAAGCAGCAUGACCGAAAAUGAUUUUACCUUCCCUUGCGAGGGAAGUUGUGAAGAUGACGAUGUACUUACCGAGUCAAAAAUAGAAGCAUUUCUUGAUGAAAAGGCCCUUGAUCUGAAGAAGCUACAAACACCUUUAUAUGAAGAAUUCUACAAUAAAGUGAAUGCCGGGAGCUCUCAUGGAGUUGAUCAAACUUCCAAUGGUAAAUUCAUAAAUAGUCCGAAACUACCCCCUCGUGGAAAGUCGCCUCCAGGUAAGAUGAGGGGAGGUCCAGCGGUGGCAACGCCUUGUGAUACCAUUUUGAAUAGCAGUACGAUGGCUGAAAGUUGCAGCAGGCAAUUCUCAAGAGACGGCGGUGUAGAUAGCAGCCGGAUUUUGAGAGAAAUAGCUUCCCCUCAGCUCAAUGAGCUUGGGGAUAAAGUUCAUAUUGAUGUCCAAGAUAGCCCAAGCAUCAGCUUUGCUGAGAGGCAACGAAAAUGGAAAGAGGAGUUGGACCAGGAGCUUGAGAGGGAAAGAGUGAUGAGGUUAGCUGGCUGUGGCAAGACACCGUCUCCAAGUAGACGGCCCAGCAUCGGGAAGCGAGAGCGCCAUCAAUAG